rnacentral:lncRNA from 1 species
CAAAUUGAAAGUUUGUAAUUUAUGUUACUAUGGAUGUCCAUUAAUUAACUAUAAUGCUACUUUAUAACAUUUUUUAAAAGUAAAAAAAAAUUUAUUCAUUCCAAAUAGAAGACUGAGGGUAAUACCUGUGUAAGAACUUCUAAAAAUGUCUCCAAUUAGAAAUUUUAUUUAUGUAAAUUAUGGACCCAAUAUAUUUGCAAUAAUUUAAGAUAGUGAAAAUGUCCUAAAUAUUAACAGUUGAAAUCAUAGUGUUAAAUACUUCUUCUCACUGCUGCAGCCUUUCUCUUAAUGUAUACUGCUGAUAUGUUAGGAAAAUCAUAGCAUAAUAAAUAGAAUAAGAAUUUUCAAUAUACUGUAAAAUACUGUUAUAUUUUCUAUAAAAUAUAUAAUAAAAACAAUAAUGUUAGCAUGAAAAGCAGCAUUUCACAGCAUGAAUUUAGUGUUUUAUGAAGUUAAAUUGUUUAAUUGGUUAAAUUUGGAUGUAUGCCUCAGAGUAAAUUUUUUAAAAUAUUACUCUUAAAAAUAAUGUGAACCUUCAGAAAUGUCCUCUCUUUUAUUCUAUAACUUUUAAAGUAUAAACUAUUUACCUAUUCAUUAUUUUGUUAUCAAUCUGUAAUAGUCAUUUAGGAGACUAUCAUAGCCUUCACUCUAUUGAUGUAUUUUAAACCUGCUUUAAAGUUUAGAUAUAACAUAGCAGCACAGGACUAAUUUAAGAUUAGAUACGGGUAUCUUUCUGAAUGUUGUUUUAGUUUGCCCAAUGGGAAAACAGAAAUUCCUCAGCUUAAUCCUGCUAAUUAGCUUUUGGCAAACACAGCUACAAACAGUUUAAAAAUCCUAUCUCACUUUAGUUUAGGAAGGUUUAACAAAACAUGCUGAUAGCUGUAGCUUGCCUUUACUGUUAUAAUUAUCCUUCUAACUCAUUAUUGACAUGGCUUCCAUCCUGCAAAGUGGGACAUGGAGAAAAGGGGAUGAGCAGGUUUGGACACAGAGAAGGGGAGCAAAACACUUGGAAAAGAAGACAGAGCUGCAGUGCCAUCGGAUCAACUUUUCCAUCUGGCCCAAUUUGGCAACAAUGUGAGUGUCUCUGCUGUGCCAAAAUAUGACUAAAAAUUAAACAGGAACUUUUUGGAGCUAAAUUUUGGGCAGACCAAAAUGAUCCUAGAUGAGAAUGACACAGUGUAUUUCUAAUUAAUGUAAACUCACUAUUGGUUAAGAUUUUGUUUCCAAAGCUUUAUAAAAAUAACUCAGUCUGUUGCUAAGGGGUUUGCAAUUUCAACAAUACCUACAAUCUUAAGUGAAUAUCAUGCUUAUGAUAAAAUAGUUUAAG